rnacentral:rRNA from 1 species
CAGCCGCCGCGGGAAUACGAGGGGGGCAAGCGUUGUUCGGAAUUAUUGGGCGUAAAGGGUGCGUAGGCGGUUUGAUAAGUCAUCUGUGAAAUCUCUGGGCUCAACCCAGAGUCUGCAGGCGAAACUGUCGGGCUUGAGUAUGGGAGAGGUGAGUGGAAUUUCCGGUGUAGCGGUGAAAUGCGUAGAUAUCGGAAGGAACACCUGUGGCGAAAGCGGCUCACUGGACCAUAACUGACGCUGAUGCACGAAAGCUAGGGGAGCAAACAGGAUUAGAUACCCCCGUAGUCCCUGUCUCUUAUAC